rnacentral:tRNA from 1 species
CUCCCUGUGGCUCAGUUGGUAGAGCAUGGUGUUUGCAACGCCAGGGUUGUGGGUUCAAAUCCCACGGGGGGC